CAAGUAGAUGGAAAUAAACAGAGAAAAGAAAAUAAUGUCAAGACUUAUUUACUACAUAUAUUUUUGAAAGGAUGUUCUAAGAUCUGUUAACGAAUGUGAAGUAUCAAGAAGAGAGCUAGUUUUGUAUAUACGAUGAAUACUAUGGGUUCCACUAAAAGUACAAGUCUCUACCGGUUUCCCUACCACUGCUCUCAUUUUGGAUUCGCGUGCGCCAACAGCUUUUCACGGGGCUUCAUCGUCCUUCUAUUUACAGGUGCUACUGUAUGAAACUUUUUUUUCUCGAAAAAUAUGAAAAACAAUAUUUAGACCAAUAAUGAAAACAGGCGUAAUUCUUAAGCAUAGUUUUGAUAAACGCGGAGCAUGGAAUUAUGGCUAGUAAAUUUAUAUAGUGGAGGAAUGAAUUGAUUGACACGGUUGUUGAUCAUGCAGCUAAUGGAAGAGAAGUUGUUCUGUUUUUGAUUAUUAUUGCACAAUUUGUGGAGUCAUGAAUGAAUCAAUCUUUGUUUCGAUAAAAUAAAAGAACUAAAAUCGAUUUAGGGUUUUAUUGUUAAUUUGCAUUCAUUUGUAUUUUGUGAUUUCAAUUAAAUUUUAGAAGCAUGUUUAUUUUAAUAGAUUGUGCACAAAGCAGUCAUUAAAUCAGUGUUUGUUCGUAUAAAGUUUUAUUAAUGUUUCUAUUUUGUUUUUUUACAGUUCGAUAGAUAUAUAUAUAUAUAUCUAUACUUUAUAUGUGAAACAUCCAAUUGAAUAAAAUUUUUGGUGUCUCAUGAACAAUAAAUAAUUAUCGCGUAUUAAAGGCAAUGCACCAUGGAAGACGAUCAAGGAGCUAGUAUAUUUCUUCUAUAGAAGUAUAGCAAAAUCUACUGCAACUUCAACCUACUACAUUUUCAAUUUACUUUGAUGUAAAUAUAUCUUAUUUUUAACUUAUUACGAGUCAAUCUACUCUAAUUUCAACCUACAAUAAGGAUGAAUGUUUUGGAACGUGGAAUUUCUUAAAUAAGAUCAAACAGUCGAAGAAAGAAGGAAAAGGAAAGAGCAUUCAAUUGGAUACUGCAAAUUCCUUGGGGUUUUUUAGGCCAUAGUUUUCUUUCCAAGCGAAGCGGAUUCAUGCUACAGAUGAAUGCCAAAUCGCUCAUCAGUUGGGAAAUGAUCAUGGCAGUUUACAACCUCCCCAUACCAAUGGUAUUCUAAAUGAUGGAAAAAAUAAGAGGGAAAAAGCCUAAAAAAGGACCUCUGCCGAAGAUAAAGCUAAGAGACGAAUUUUGCCAAAUCCUUGAUGACUUGGUUAUUAGGACAAAGAAAUUUGAAAUACGAAUGAUUUAGCAAAUAAGCAGGUGUUGUCAAUGAGGAAUUCUAGAGCUGAAGGUUUGUGAUAUGGAGAAGUUAGCAGAAAACCUCUUAGUGAAAACUCUUAGUGCAAUUUUUAGUGCGAAAAGGACCAUAAUAAUUGACUCCAACAUUUGAGAAGGAUUUAGUCUUAUUCACAUGAAUAUUGACCCUGAAUGUAAAUACGAGGAGAUUUAUUUUCUUUAUUUGUUUUUGGUGUUACCUGUUGGUGUAGCAUCGAUUUCAGAGAGGAUACUGUAUGAGUUGUGUGUCGGUAUAUCUUGUAGCCACAUUUCGAACUGAUGGAACGUGUGUGAAUUUGACAUAUUUGUAAUUGUAUUAGAUUUGCUCUUUUUGCUAGUAAAUAGAGACUCAGCUCGGUAGAUUGAAGCAUUAGUGGACAUGUAGACAUCCUUUACUUGGUUAUUUGAUGUGUUCCGUAUGGAGUAGAUGUCUCCCAAUAUUGAGACUUUUAGGUUUAUUGGUGGCAUAUUUGAACCAGCGACCAUACGACUACUGUCUCAGUAUGCCUACUGUCUCACUGCCCCGAGAUAAUUAAUAAAGAGGUCGUUAAUGUACGUUACAAGAACUAUAAACAAAAACAAGGCACGAAUAAUAGGAAAUACGUCUAUCCUGUACAAAUUUAGCGAAUAGAAUGAAAUAAUAAGUAGAUACGUAUAGAUCACCUCGAUCAAUGCCCCCACGUAAGUUGUGUUGCUGGCAACUGCAUUAUACUUUUUAAUUCUAAAUUUUUUUUUAUCUCUUCAUAGAAUUCUUUUCGAAUCCAUCAUUCCAGUAUCAUUUCAAUUACUUAAAAGUUACACAGUUCCCUUGUCCUUUCAAGCUAAAAAUGUAAUUUUUCCUUU